rnacentral:rRNA from 1 species
UGAGGAAUCUUCCGCAAUGGACGAAAGUCUGACGGAGCGACGCCGCGUGGUGGAUGAAGGCCUUUACUGGUCGUAAACACCUGUUCUGAGGGACGAAAUUUUUGACGGUACCUCAGGAGAAAGUAUCGGCAAACCCUGUGCCAGCAGCCGCGGUAAUACAGGGGAUACAAGCGUUACUCGGAAUUACUGGGCGUAAAGCGUCUGUAGGUUCUUGCAAAAGUCUGGGGUAAAAACUCAGUGCUUAACACU